rnacentral:rRNA from 1 species
GCUUGUCUCAAAGAUUAAGCCAUGCAUGUCUAAGUGUAAAUACGUCUACACUGUGAAACUGCGAAUGGCUCAUUAAAUCAGUUAUCGUUUAUUUGAUGAUCUCUUGUUACAUGGAUAACCGUAGUAAUUCUAGAGCUAAUACAUGCGAAAAGACCCGACUUUUUGGAAGGGUUGUAUUUAUUAGAUACAAAACCAAUGCGGAGCAAUCCGGUUUGUGGUGAUUCAUAAUAACUUUGCGAAUCGCAUGGCCUUGCGCCGGCGAUGAAUCAUUCAAAUUUCUGCCCUAUCAACUUUCGAUGGUAAGGUAUUGGCCUACCAUGGUUACAACGGGUAACGGGGAAUUAGGGUUCGGUUCCGGAGAGGGCGCCUGAGAAAUGGCGACCACAUCCAAGGAAGGCAGCAGG